rnacentral:misc_RNA from 1 species
GAUGAAGAACGCAGCGAAAUGCGAUACGUAAUGUGAAUUGCAGAAUUCAGUGAAUCAUCGAGUCUUUGAACGCACAUUGCGCCCCCUGGUAUUCCGGGGGGCAUGCCUGUCCGAGCGUCAUUGCUGCCCUCAAGCACGGCUUGUGUGUUGGGCCUCCGUCCUCCUCCCGGGGGACGGGCCCGAAAGGCAGCGGCGGCACCGCGUCCGGUCCUCGAGCGUGUGGGGCUUCGUCACCCGCUCUUGUAGGCCCGGCCGGCGCUUGCCGACACAUCAAUCUUUUUUCCAGGUUGACCUCGGAUCAGGUAGGGAUACCCGCUGAACUUAAGCAUAUCAAUAAGCGGAGGA